GAUUCCUCUGAUAACAUCAGCAAGCCCAGGACAACAGGCUACAAGUCUGGGGAGUGUGAAAUUCUCGGCGAGGGUCUUGGUGCCAAAGAGACGCCCCAGCAGCGGUACCAGCGGCUGCAGCACGAGGUGCAGGAGCUGUUCAGGGAGGUGGAGCAGAUCCAGGGUAAAGGCCGCCUGUAGGUAUCACCACAGGGAAAAGGAAAUGACCGCUUACAUUUCAUGAAGCGUACGUUUAGUUCCUGGUAAUUCCCUGCUUCAGAAGGACCACAGAAACAGUAAAUGGACAAAAAGGGGGCAAUUCUUCUCUAAUGAUAGCCUGGUGUACGUGCUUUUCAAUGAAACGCUAAACACGGUGCAGGCAUUACCUACCGUAUUCGCAUAUGCUUCGCUGUUCUAAUGGCAUGAGCAUUUUCCUGACUUGCUCAAACCUCUACCGUGAGUCAGUCCUCAGGGCCAAGGAGCAGAACGGCAAAUGGACGGAGCGUAGUUCAAAGCUGAGUAAAAGUACCACUGAACAAUGUACAAGCGUCGAUGCUUUAUUUGUCUAAAUAUGGUACUGAUGACUCUCAUGUAUGAAGUUACCUCACGAUUAUUAAAACGAAGAGGAGGCACAUCCAGUUCCUGGUGUGGAUCCUCUCAUCUGACCUGGGUCUCUCUUGCUGGGCACUCUCUAGUUCUUUCCAAGACUAAGAAGCUGCAGAUAAGUUACUUAGGGAACAACUAUUCUUCGUGAAGAAUGGAGAGCCCCGACAGUGCUCAGGAGAACGCCUGUUGUAUUUGCUUCACAGGGAAUAGAACAGCAGUCUUCAAAACCCGCCACUGCCUUGGAUAGCAAAGCCCCAAACUCAAGUACUUAGAAAUAUUAAUAACGGGAAUUAGUAUACCUGACAUUAGGAGGCCAUUUAUAUCUAUUUCAACUAACGUGUAGAGAUAGCUGCUAUGAUGGCUUAAGAGAGCAUUUGAAGAUCGGUACUCUGCAAAGUGUUCCAGGUAUUUACCGAUGCAGGUCCCUGUAAGCAGAUGGGGGGAUGAUCUCCUCUAUUGCCGCCACUGAUAAAAAUCACAGCUAAAAACUGUCAAAAGACAUUGAUUUACAAUCCAGGGAUUUGAAACCUAAUUUAAACCCAAACGCUAAGAUUAGGAUACGUGUCUCCCCUUUCUGUGAUUGAAAGGAAACUCCUCUGCUUUCAUGCUCGAGAGAUUUCUUGCCAAGCGCUAACUGCCUUCACAAAAUACUACACGCAGAGGCAGGAGUGAGUUAGCGCCACGUGAUGUGAGUGACGGUAAAUGGAACCGGGUCAGCCACGCCAUCUGUCUUCAGAUCUCAUAAUUUUUACAUCAGGGAUUUCUGACACCUUGGGAUGAACGGUGCGGUAUUGUAGCAAUGGCAGUAAGAACUUUCUCAGUCAUCUCCAACUCGGGCCAUAUU